rnacentral:rRNA from 2 species
CUGGCUCAGGAUGAACGCCGGCGGUGUGCCUAAUACAUGCAAGUCGUACGCACUGGCCCAACUGAUUGAUGGUGCUUGCACCUGAUUGACGAUGGAUCACCAGUGAGUGGCGGACGGGUGAGUAACACGUAGGUAACCUGCCCCGGAGCGGGGGAUAACAUUUGGAAACAGAUGCUAAUACCGCAUAACAACAAAAGCCACAUGGCUUUUGUUUGAAAGAUGGCUUUGGCUAUCACUCUGGGAUGGACCUGCGGUGCAUUAGCUAGUUGGUAAGGUAACGGCUUACCAAGGCGAUGAUGCAUAGCCGAGUUGAGAGACUGAUCGGCCACAAUGGAACUGAGACACGGUCCAUACUCCUACGGGAGGCAGCAGUAGGGAAUCUUCCACAAUGGGCGCAAGCCUGAUGGAGCAACACCGCGUGAGUGAAGAAGGGUUUCGGCUCGUAAAGCUCUGUUGUUGGAGAAGAACGUGCGUGAGAGUAACUGUUCACGCAGUGACGGUAUCCAACCAGAAAGUCACGGCUAACUACGUGCCAGCAGCCGCGGUAAUACGUAGGUGGCAAGCGUUAUCCGGAUUUAUUGGGCGUAAAGCGAGCGCAGGCGGUUGCUUAGGUCUGAUGUGAAAGCCUUCGGCUUAACCGAAGAAGUGCAUCGGAAACCGGGCGACUUGAGUGCAGAAGAGGACAGUGGAACUCCAUGUGUAGCGGUGGAAUGCGUAGAUAUAUGGAAGAACACCAGUGGCGAAGGCGGCUGUCUGGUCUGCAACUGACGCUGAGGCUCGAAAGCAUGGGUAGCGAACAGGAUUAGAUACCCUGGUAGUCCAUGCCGUAAACGAUGAGUGCUAGGUGUUGGAGGGUUUCCGCCCUUCAGUGCCGGAGCUAACGCAUUAAGCACUCCGCCUGGGGAGUACGACCGCAAGGUUGAAACUCAAAGGAAUUGACGGGGGCCCGCACAAGCGGUGGAGCAUGUGGUUUAAUUCGAAGCUACGCGAAGAACCUUACCAGGUCUUGACAUCUUGCGCUAACCUUAGAGAUAAGGCGUUCCCUUCGGGGACGCAAUGACAGGUGGUGCAUGGUCGUCGUCAGCUCGUGUCGUGAGAUGUUGGGUUAAGUCCCGCAACGAGCGCAACCCUUGUUACUAGUUGCCAGCAUUAAGUUGGGCACUCUAGUGAGACUGCCGGUGACAAACCGGAGGAAGGUGGGGACGACGUCAGAUCAUCAUGCCCCUUAUGACCUGGGCUACACACGUGCUACAAUGGACGGUACAACGAGUUGCAAACUCGCGAGAGCAAGCUAAUCUCUUAAAGCCGUUCUCAGUUCGGACUGUAGGCUGCAACUCGCCUACACGAAGUCGGAAUCGCUAGUAAUCGCGGAUCAGCAUGCCGCGGUGAAUACGUUCCCGGGCCUUGUACACACCGCCCGUCACACCAUGGGAGUUUGUAACGCCCAAAGUCGGUGGCCUAACCUUUGUGGAGGGAGCCGCCUAAGGCGGGACAGAUGACUGGGGUGAAGUCGU